rnacentral:rRNA from 1 species
CACUAUCGUUAACUGAAUACAUAGGUUAACGAGGCGAACCGGGGGAACUGAAACAUCUAAGUACCCCGAGGAAAAGAAAUCAACCGAGAUUCCCCCAGUAGCGGCGAGCGAACGGGGAGCAGCCCAGAGUCUGAAUCAGCUUGUGUGUUAGUGGAACGGUCUGGAAAGUCCGACGGUACAGGGUGAUAGUCCCGUACACCAAAAUGCACAGGUUGUGAACUCGAAGAGUAGGGCGGGACACGUGGUAUCCUGUCUGAAUAUGGGGGGACCAUCCUCCAAGGCUAAAUACUCCUGACUGACCGAUAGUGAACCAGUACCGUGAGGGAAAGGCGAAAAGAACCCCGGCGAGGGGAGUGAAAAAGAACCUGAAACCGUGUACGUACAAGCAGUGGGAGCACCUUCGGGUGUGACUGCGUACCUUUUGUAUAAUGGGUCAGCGACUUAUAUUCUGUAGCAAGGUUAACCGUAUAGGGGAGCCGCAGGGAAACCGAGUCUUAACUGGGCGUUAAGUUGCAGGGUAUAGACCCGAAACCCGGUGAUCUAGCCAUGGGCAGGUUGAAGGUUGGGUAACACUAACUGGAGGACCGAACCGACUAAUGUUGAAAAAUUAGCGGAUGACUUGUGGCUGGGGGUGAAAGGCCAAUCAAACCGGGAGAUAGCUGGUUCUCCCCGAAAGCUAUUUAGGUAGCGCCUCGUGAACUCAUCUUCGGGGGUAGAGCACUGUUUCGGCUAGGGGGUCAUCCCGACUUACCAACCCGAUGCAAACUACGAAUACCGAAGAAUGUUAUCACGGGAGACACACGGCGGGUGCUAACGUCCGUCGUGAAGAGGGAAACAACCCAGACCGCCAGCUAAGGUCCCAAAGUCAUGGUUAAGUGGGAAACGAUGUGGGAAGGCACAGACAGCCAGGAUGUUGGCUUAGAAGCAGCCAUCAUUUAAAGAAAGCGUAAUAGCUCACUGGUCGAGUCGGCCUGCGCGGAAGAUGUAACGGGGCUAAACCAUGCACCGAAGCUGCGGCAGCGACACUAUGUGUUGUUGGGUAGGGGAGCGUUCUGUAAGCCUGCGAAGGUGACCUGUGAGGGUUGCUGGAGGUAUCAGAAGUGCGAAUGCUGACAUAAGUAACGAUAAAGCGGGUGAAAAGCCCGCUCGCCGGAAGACCAAGGGUUCCUGUCCAACGUUAAUCGGGGCAGGGUGAGUCGACCCCUAAGGCGAGGCCGAAAGGCGUAGUCGAUGGGAAACAGGUUAAUAUUCCUGUACUUGGUGUUACUGCGAAGGGGGGACGGAGAAGGCUAUGUUAGCCGGGCGACGGUUGUCCCGGUUUAAGCAUGUAGGCUGAUUAUCCAGGCAAAUCCGGAUAAUCAAGGCUGAGGUGUGAUGACGAGGCACUACGGUGCUGAAGUAACAAAUGCCCUGCUUCCAGGAAAAGCCUCUAAGCAUCAGGUAACAUCAAAUCGUACCCCAAACCGACACAGGUGGUCAGGUAGAGAAUACCAAGGCGCUUGAGAGAACUCGGGUGAAGGAACUAGGCAAAAUGGUGCCGUAACUUCGGGAGAAGGCACGCUGGUGUGUAGGUGAAGUCCCUGCGGAUGGAGCUGAGACCAGUCGAAGAUACCAGCUGGCUGCAACUGUUUAUUAAAAACACAGCACUGUGCAAACACGAAAGUGGACGUAUACGGUGUGACGCCUGCCCGGUGCCGGAAGGUUAAUUGAUGGGGUUAUCCGUAAGGAGAAGCUCUUGAUCGAAGCCCCGGUAAACGGCGGCCGUAACUAUAACGGUCCUAAGGUAGCGAAAUUCCUUGUCGGGUAAGUUCCGACCUGCACGAAUGGCGUAAUGAUGGCCAGGCUGUCUCCACCCGAGACUCAGUGAAAUUGAACUCGCUGUGAAGAUGCAGUGUACCCGCGGCAAGACGGAAAGACCCCGUGAACCUUUACUAUAGCUUGACACUGAACAUUGAGCCUUGAUGUGUAGGAUAGGUGGGAGGCUUUGAAGCGUGGACGCCAGUCUGCGUGGAGCCAACCUUGAAAUACCACCCUUUAAUGUUUGAUGUUCUAACGUUGGCCCCU